rnacentral:rRNA from 1 species
UACGUAGGGUGCGAGCGUUAAUCGGAAUUACUGGGCGUAAAGCGUGCGCAGGCGGUUUGAUAAGCCAGAUGUGAAAUCCCCGAGCUCAACUUGGGAACUGCGUUUGGAACUGUCAGACUAGAGUGCGUCAGAGGGGGGUGGAAUUCCACGUGUAGCAGUGAAAUGCGUAGAGAUGUGGAGGAACACCGAUGGCGAAGGCUGCCCCCUGGGAUGACACUGACGCUCAUGCACGAAAGCGUGGGGAGCAAACAGG